GAUUGCCCUAGUACCGGCGAGUGAAGCGGCAACAGCUCAAAUUUGAAAUCUGGCUUUCGGGCCCGAGUUGUAAUUUGUAGAGGAUACUUUUGAUGCGGUGCCUUCCGAGUUCCCUGGAACGGGACGCCAUAGAGGGUGAGAGCCCCGUCUGGUUGGAUGCCAAAUCUCUGUAAAGUUCCUUCGACGAGUCGAGUAGUUUGGGAAUGCUGCUCUAAAUGGGAGGUAUAUGUCUUCUAAAGCUAAAUAUUGGCCAGAGACCGAUAGCGCACAAGUAGAGUGAUCGAAAGAUGAAAAGCACUUUGAAAAGAGAGUUAAAAAGUACGUGAAAUUGUUGAAAGGGAAGCGUUUAUGACCAGACUUGGACUUGGUUAAUCAUCUGGGGUUCUCUCCAGUGCACUUUUCCAGUUCAGGCCAGCAUCAGUUUUCGCCGGGGGAUAAAGGCAGCGGGAAUGUGGCUCUCUUCGGGGAGUGUUAUAGCCCGCUGUGUAAUACCCUGGUGGGGACUGAGGUUCGCGCUUCUGCAAGGAUGCUGGCGUAAUGGUCAUCAACGACCCGUCUUGAAACACGGACCAAGGAGUCGUCUUUGUAUGCGAGUGUUCGGGUGUCAAACCCCUACGCGUAAUGAAAGUGAACGCAGGUGAGAGCUUCGGCGCAUCAUCGACCGAUCCUGAUGUUCUCGGAUGGAUUUGAGUAAGAGCAUACGGGGCCGGACCCGAAAGAAGGUGAACUAUGCCUGUAUUAGGGUGAAGCCAGAGGAAACUCUGGUGGAGGCUCGCAGCGGUUCUGACGUGCAAAUCGAUCGUCAAAUAUGGGCAUG
rnacentral:rRNA from 1 species